UACGGGGGAUGCAAGCGUUAUCCGGAAUCAUUGGGCGUAAAGCGCCUGUAGGUUGUUUAAUAAGUCUGUUGUUAAAGACUGGGGCUUAACCCCAGGAAAGCAAUGGAAACUACUAGACUAGAGUAUGGUAGGGGUAAAGGGAAUUUCUAGUGUAGCGGUGAAAUGCGUAGAUAUUAGAAAGAACACCGGUGGCGAAAGCGCUUUACUGGACCAUUACUGACACUCAGAGGCGAAAGCUAGGGUAGCCAAAGGGAUUAGAUACCCCUGUAGUCCUAGCCGUAAACGAUGGAUACUAGAUGUUGUAUUUAUUUUACAGUAUCGUAGCUAACGCGUUAAGUAUCCCGCCUGGGGAGUACGCUCGCAAGGGUG
rnacentral:rRNA from 1 species